AGACACCAUGUAGGUUUUAGUUGUUUUCAGUGAGGAAUAGUGGGCAGACACCAUGUAGGUUUUAGUUGUUUUCAGUGAGGAAUAGUGGGCAGACACCAUGUAGGUUUUAGUUGUUUUCAGUGAGGAAUAGUGGGCAGACACCAUGUAGGUUUUAGUUGUUUUCAGUGAGGAAUAGUGGGCAGACACCAUGUAGGUUUUAGUUGUUUUCAGUGAGGAAUAGUGGGCAGACACCAUGUAGGUUUUAGUUGUUUUCAGUGAGGAAUAGUGGGCAGACACCAUGUAGGUUUUAGUUGUUUUCAGUGAGGAAUAGUGGGCAGACACCAUGUAGGUUUUAGUUGUUUUCAGUGAGGAAUAGUGGGCAGACACCAUGUAGGUUUUAGUUGUUUUCAGUGAGGAAUAGUGGGCAGACACCAUGUAGGUUUUAGUUGUUUUCAGUGAGGAAUAGUGGGCAGACACCAUGUAGGUUUUAGUUGUUUUCAGUGAGGAAUAGUGGGCAGACACCAUGUAGGUUUUAGUUGUUUUCAGUGAGGAAUAGUGGGCAGACACCAUGUAGGUUUUAGUUGUUUUCAGUGAGGAAUAGUGGGCAGACACCAUGUAGGUUUUAGUUGUUUUCAGUGAGGAAUAG